rnacentral:rRNA from 1 species
UGAACGCUGGCGGCGUGCUUAACACAUGCAAGUCGAACGAAGCUACUUUUCUUGAUUCUUCGGAUGAAGGAGAUAGUGACUGGAGUGGCGGACGGGUGAGUAACGCGUGGGUAACCUGCCUCAUACAGGGGGAUAACAGUUAGAAAUGACUGCUAAUACCGCAUAAGCGCACAGUAUCGCAUGGUACAGUGUGAAAAACUCCGGUGGUAUGAGAUGGACCCGCGUCUGAUUAGCUAGUUGGUGAGGUAACGGCUCACCAAGGCAACGAUCAGUAGCCGGCCUGAGAGGGUGAACGGCCACAUUGGGACUGAGACACGGCCCAAACUCCUACGGGAGGCAGCAGUGGGGAAUAUUGCACAAUGGGGGAAACCCGUGAUGCAGCGACGCCGCGUGAGUGACGAAGUAUUUCGGUAUGUAAAGCUCUAUCAGCAGGGAAGAAAAUAGACGGUACCUGACUAAGAAGCACCGGCUAAAUACGUG